AACGAACGCUGGCGGCAUGCCUAACACAUGCAAGUCGAACGAGACCUUCGGGUCUAGUGGCGCACGGGUGCGUAACGCGGGGGAACCUGCCCUUAGGUUCGGAAUAACUCCCCGAAAGGGGUGCUAAUACCGGAUAAUGUCUUCGGACCAAAGAUUUAUCGCCUUUGGAUGGGCCCGCGUUGGAUUAGCUAGUUGGUAGGGUAAAAGCCUACCAAGGCGACGAUCCGUAGCUGGUCUGAGAGGAUGAUCAGCCACACUGGGACUGAGACACGGCCCAGACUCCUACGGGAGGCAGCAGUGGGGACUAUUGGACCAUGGGCGAGAGCCUGAUCCAGCACUGCCGCGUGAGUGAUGAAGGCCUUAUGGUUGUAAAGCUCUUUUACCCGGGAUGAUAAUGACAGUACCGGGAGAAUAAGCUCCGGCUAACUCCGUG
rnacentral:rRNA from 1 species